rnacentral:rRNA from 1 species
AACGAACGCUGGCGGCAGGCUUAACACAUGCAAGUCGAGCGAGGACUCCGGUUCUAGCGGCGGAGGGGGGGGUAAAGCGUGGGGAUGUGCCCUUCUAUACGGAAUAGCGCGGGGAAACUGGGAGUAAUACCGGAUAUGCUCCUUCGGGGAAAGAUUUGGCGGAGGAGGGUCAGCUUGGGAUGGAUUAGGUUGGUGGUGGGGUAAUGGCGUACCACGCCGUCGUUCCAUAGCUGGUUGGAGAGGAUGAGCAGACACACUGGGGCUGAGGCACGGCCCAGAAUCCUACGGGAGGGAGCAGUGGGGAAUCCUAGACAACGGGGGCAACCCUGAUCUAGCCAUGCCGGGUGAGUGAUGAAGGCGUUAGGGAUGUGAAGCUCUUUCAGAUGAGAAGAUAAUGACGGUACCAGCAGAAGAAGCCCCGGCUAACUACGUG